CCAAAAUAUUCCUGCCCUUUUUCCAAGACUACUUUCAGAUGGGCCUGAGAACUUUUAAGACAGAGCACAGUAUUCACGUGGCAAAGUAACCCCAGCCCAUUCAGUGAUGCGGGUAAGACCAAAACUAGUAAGAGCUCAAAACUUCUCAAAUGUGGAUUUGCAAGUGCUGGUGGAAUAAGUAAGGAGGAGAUGAGAUAGGUUCUUGGGCUAUCAGAGAAGGAAAAUGGUGAAAGCAGCAGCUCCAACCAUGUGGAACAAGUUGGCAUUGGUGCAGACUGCUCUCUCUCUCUCUCACCACCAGGAUAGCACGCCACUGCUGGAAGAAAUUCAAUGACCCUACGAGGACAGGCAAGUAUCAAAACCCACAUAGCAAACAGUUAUCAAAUGAUGGGGUACUAAAUAGAAAGGAUGGGUUUCAUAAUUGGAAUACUUAUGAAGGGUGUGGACAUCACCGGCAAAGGGAGCAUUUGUUGCCCAUCAUGAA